AGCAGAUGAUGUCUCAAAGACAACAGUAUAUGCUGUAGUUUCAAGAAAUGCUCAUCCCAUAGAGUCCAGAAUCUAUGAUGAAAUCCCUCAGUUCAAGAUGCCGUCCUGUAAGGAAGAGCCUGUGACCACCAUUUAUUCCUCAGUGCAGCUUUCUGAGAAGAUGGGGAAAGCCAACAU